rnacentral:rRNA from 1 species
AUUGAACGCUGGCGGCGUGCCUAACACAUGCAAGUCGAGCGGUAACAGGUGUAGCAAUACAUGCUGACGAGCGGCGAACGGGUGAGUAAUGCUUUGGAAUCUUCCCAGUAGUGGGGAAUAACCAGUCGAAAGAUUGGCUAAUACCGCAUACGUCUGUAAAGGGAAAGCGGGGGACUCGCCUCUUCUUCGGAAGAGAGGCCUCGCGCUAUUGGACGAGCCAAAGUCGGAUUAGCUAGUUGGUGGGGUAAUGGCCUACCAAGGCGACAAUCCGUAGCUGGUCUGAGAGGACGACCAGCCACACCGGAACUGAGACACGGUCCGGACUCCUACGGGA